AUCUAAAUAUUUUAAAUAAAAUAUAAGCUUGUGGUGCUUAAGAUAUAAUAAUAAUUAUUUUAGAUA
rnacentral:tRNA from 1 species